rnacentral:rRNA from 1 species
GCACGUCUUGGCGCCGGGUUGCCAGCGGUGUCCGGCUAGCAGGGACCGCCGCGGGGGGUGCAACCGUUGUCCUGAGCCGUCCGCCGCGUCCCGGGUGAGCGGGCAUGCAUGGCUUCGU